CAGCAUUCAGGAUAUGAGAAUGUGGAUGAGGAGCUUCUCUCAGGAAGUAUCAUCUCUGAAGCACAGAAUUCAGGAUAUGAGGAUGUGGAUGAGGAGCUCCAUUUGGGUGAAUCAGCAAAAGAGGACACAGCAGAGAGCUAUGAUGAUGUCAUCUCUGCUGGACAGAUCUCUGAUAGUGUAGCAGAGGGCUUAGCAGAGAUUUAUGAUGAUGCCACCACUGCUGAUCAGAGCUCAGCUGUUGAAACAGAAUACUUGGCAGAUGUCUAUGAUGAUGCUGUUACCACUGGACCAAACUCCAGCAUUAUGAAAAGUAAGUCUUCUUAUUGUG